UUUCCGUAGGUGAACCUGCGGAAGGAUCAUUAAUGUAACCGGACUGUUCGGGUGCCGUAAAACGCAUCUGUUCGGAAAGGGAGAUAUCAUACACCCUAUGUUUAUUUACUUUUGUUGCUUUGGCGGGCCGUCCUUUUAGGCAUCGGCCCUGGCUGAUCGUGCCCGCCAGGGGACCUAAACUCUUCUAUCAGUGUUGUCUGAGUACUAUAUAAUAGUUAAAACUUUCAACAACGGAUCUCUUGGUUCUG
rnacentral:misc_RNA from 1 species